rnacentral:misc_RNA from 1 species
UUCGAGCGUCAUUACAACCCUCACGCCCAGCGUGGUAUUGGACUCGCCCUGUAGGGCUUGUCUCAAAGUCAGUGGCGGCACCGUUUGACCCCUAAGCGUAGUAAUACUCGUCGCUUCUGGUGUCCGACGGAGGCCUGCCAGCAACCCCCAAUUUUUACAAGGUUGACCUCGAAUCAGGUAGGGAUACCCGCUGAACUUAA